UACGGCCACUUCAUGUUGAUACACCGGUUCCCGUAAGAUCACCGAAGUUAAGCAACGUCUAACCUGCUCAGUACCUAGAUGGGUGACUGCAUGGGAAUACCAGGUGCUGUAAG
rnacentral:rRNA from 1 species